rnacentral:rRNA from 1 species
CAGCAGCCACGGUAAUACGUAGGGGGCAAGCGUUGUCCGGAAUUAUUGGGCGUAAAGCGCGCGCAGGCGGUCAUGUAAGUCUGGUGUUUAAUCCCGGGGCUCAACCCCGGAUCGCACUGGAAACUGGGUGACUUGAGUGCAGAAGAGGAGAGUGGAAUUCCACGUGUAGCGGUGAAAUGCGUAGAGAUGUGGAGGAACACCAGUGGCGAAGGCGACUCUCUGGGCUGUAACUGACGCUGAGGCGCGAAAGCGUGGGGAGCAAACAGGAUUAGAUACCCCUGUAGUCCCUGUCUCUUAUACA